rnacentral:rRNA from 1 species
UACUUUUAACGGUAGAUCUCUAGGCUCGUGCAUCAAUUAAGAACGUAGCCAGUUGCGAUAAGUAGUGUGAAUUGCAGAAUUCAGUAAAUCAUCGAAUCUUCGAACGCAAAUUGCGCUCACUGGAGUUCCCUGUGAGCAUGCCUGUCUGAACGUCG